rnacentral:rRNA from 1 species
AGCAGCCGCGGUAAUUCCAGCUCCAAUAGCGUAUAUUAAAGUUGUUGCAGUUAAAAAGCUCGUAGUUGAAUUUUAGGCCUGGCCAGGCGGUCCGUCUUUGGCGAGUACUGUCUUGUUGUCGGGUCUUCCUUCUGGUGAACCAGUAUGCCCUUUAUUGGGUGUGUUGGGGAGCCAGGACCAUUACCUUGAAAAAAUUUAGAGUGUUUAAAGCGGGCUAUUGCUUGAAUAGAUUAGCAUGGAAUAAUAGAAUAGGACGUUGUGGUUCUAUUUUGUUGGUUUCUAGGAUCACCGUAAUGAUUAAUAGGGAUAGUUGGGGGCAUUAGUAUUCAAUUGUCGGAGGUGAAAUUCUUGGAUUUAUUGAAGACUAACUAUUGCGAAAGCAUUUGCCAAGGAUGUUUUCAUUAAUCAAGAACGAAAGUUAGGGGAUCGAAGACGAUCAGAUACCGUCGUAGUCUUAACCAUAAACUAUGCCGACUAGGAAUCGGGCGACGUUAUUUUCAUGACUCGCUCGGCGCCUUAU